UGUAAUGAAAUGCAUGUAAAUGUAGAAGUAAAUGUAAUGAAUUCGAGUUUUGCAGUAAACAGAAGGCAGACUUGCUCUUCACAAAAGAAGAUAUCAUUAUAGAUCUCCUUUAAACCAAUAAAAGAUUGCUGAUUAAUCCAUCUCGGCUUAUGGACUUCAUCAACACAUCCUCGGGAUUGUCACUGCCUUUCUCCAGCCUCUCCUCUGGUGUGGCUGCUCUUUGGGGACAUACCAACAUGUAGGCGAUGAAAAUAGCCCCAAGCAACCCGUUUGGGCACAAGGAGCUCUGCUGCCACAUUGGCACGUCACUGGGGCUUAUACGACCUGCUUCUCAGGUUGGGAACCAGUAUGGAAAUCCACAGAAGUAGGUGAGCUCCAGUCCUACAAACCUGUUUUGGGCUGGGGAAGUCUGUCUAGACAGAGCACGAGGCAUUUGUAAGGCAAGGCUGGGUUCGGCACUGGUGGCUGAGCGACUGGGUUGGCUAUGAUCAGCUCAGGUUGGAGAUCUGCAAAGCCCCACUAUGGAGGCCAGCGCAGCCACACGUGAGGGUUGGAGCAGGAGAAAGCCAGGCCCAUGGGUGUGCAGAAAAAAGCAGAAGCCUGUCAGCCAGGCCACAGCAACCCCUCACACAGUGCACGUGGGUGCAGGCAUGAAGAGGCUGCAGAGGUGGCUGUGUAGGUUCAGCAGGAAUGCAGGAGGAGGCCCAGAACAAGUGGGGGGUGCUAGGGGAAGCCUGGGGGGGAUACAAGCACCCUAUGGCCUCAGCAUCACCCCAAGGCCUUGCUGGGUGUCACCCCUUGAACUCAACGCUUCAAGGAGCAGGAGGGCACAGGCUGGCAUGGCCACCACGGACUGCGUCAGGAGUGUUGGGUCCUGCUGUACCUCAGCUCUGAGGGGAACCGGGGGCAGUGAAGGGGGAUGCUGUGGAAGGAACAUUGAAAGGGGACAUCUGUGGUGGGACUGAGAUGGGAGACUGCGGGGGGGGUGACUUAUCAGGACUCAGAAGGCAAACGGGGGACUAAGGGGAGGCUAAUGCGGUGAGCGCCUGAGAGGGGACACUGUGGGGUGCUGAGGGAGAACCCUCGCAAGACUCAGUCUCCCCUCAGUCAGCGGGGGGAAAGGUGGAGACGGCGGGCAACCAAGCGGGAAGCCGACGAGAGGACUGAGGCGGGGGACACAGCGACAGUGGCGGCGCCGGAGGGACAUCCCCUUGCCCCUGAGCGGGGGGAUGGAACCACCCGGUCCCACCGCGCCCGGAGCCCUACGCGGAGCAACUGACGACGGCCUCGGCUCUUUCCGGCGCCGCUCGCGCCUUUCCGGCGUCGGCGUGGGCGGCGGGGGGCGUGCCCGGUGCGCGCUGACGCCAGGCGCAGGCCUCGCCCCCGCCCCGCCCCCAUGGUCUCU
rnacentral:lncRNA from 1 species